rnacentral:rRNA from 1 species
GACAGAGGUGCCAAGCGUUAGGCGGAAUCACUGGGCUUAAAGCGUGUGUAGGCGGGUCGUUAAGUACCUUGUGAAAUCCCACGGCUCACCCGUGGAACUGCUGGGCAUACUGGCGAUCUUGGGCCAACUAGGGGCAGCCGGAACAAGCGGUGGAGCGGUGAAAUGCGUAGAUAUCGCUUGGAACGCCAAAGGUGAAAACAGGCUGCUGGGGUUGUGCCGACGCUGAGACACGAAAGCCAGGGGAGCAAACGGG